AGAUUAGCAUGGGACCAAUGAUCCUGAGUUUAAUGUAACUUGCACAGAUUUAAAAGGUGAGUGCAUAAUUUGUGGUAGUGGGGGACUGCGUUUGCACUCUCCCCUG
rnacentral:snRNA from 1 species